rnacentral:rRNA from 1 species
CCUACGGGAGGCAGCAGUGGGGGAUAUUGCACAAUGGAGGAAACUCUGAUGCAGCGACGCCGCGUGAGGGAAGACGGUCUUCGGAUUGUAAACCUCUGUCUUUGGGGAAGAAAAUGACGGUACCCAAAGAGGAAGCUCCGGCUAACUACGUGCCAGCAGCCGCGGUAAUACGUAGGGAGCGAGCGUUGUCCGGAAUUACUGGGUGUAAAGGGAGCGUAGGCGGGCGAGAAAGUUGAAUGUUAAAUCUACCGGCUUAACUGGUAGCUGCGUUCAAAACUUCUUGUCUUGAGUGAAGUAGAGGCAGGCGGAAUUCCUAGUGUAGCGGUGAAAUGCGUAGAUAUUAGGAGGAACACCAGUGGCGAAGGCGGCCUGCUGGGCUUUAACUGACGCUGAGGCUCGAAAGCGUGGGGAGCAAACAGGAUUAGAUACCCCAGUAGUCC